UACGUAGGGGGCGAGCGUUGUCCGGAUUUAUUGGGCGUAAAGAGCUCGUAGGCGGCCGUUCGCGUCGGAUGUGAAAGCUCAGGGCUCAACCCUGAGACGCCAUUCGAUACGGGACGGCUAGAGGCAGGUAGGGGAAAGUGGAAUUCCUGGUGUAGCGGUGAAAUGCGCAGAUAUCAGGAGGAACACCGGUGGCGAAGGCGGCUUUCUGGGACUUAACUGACGCUGAGGAGCGAAAGCUGGGGGAGCGAACAGG
rnacentral:rRNA from 1 species